rnacentral:tRNA from 1 species
UUCCCUGUGGCUUAGACAGUACAGUGUCUGCCUGCAAUGCGGGAGACCCAGGUUCAAUGCCUGAGUGGGGAAG